GACGAACGCGGGGCGUGCUUAACACAUGCAAGUCGAACGGAAAGAGAUGAAAGAGCUUGCUCUUUUAUUAAUUUCAGUGGCAAACGGGUGAGUAACACGUAAACAACCUGCCUUAAGGAUGGGGAUAACAGACGGAAACGACUGCUAAUACCGAAUACGCUCUAAGCAUCGCAUGGUGCAUAGAAGAAAGGGUGGCCUCUACAAGAAAGCUAUCGCCUUAAGAGGGGUUUGCGACUGAUUAGGUAGUUGGUGAGGUAACGGCUCACCAAGCCGACGAUCAGUAGCCGGUCUGAGAGGAUGAACGGCCACACGGAAUGAGACACGGUCCAGACUCCUACGGGAGGCAGCAGUGGGGAAUCUUCCGCAAUGGACGAAAGUCUGACGGAGCAACGCCGCGUGAACGAAGAAGGUCUUCGGAUUGUAAAGUUCUGUGAUUCGGGACGAAAGGGUUUGUGGUGAAUAAU
rnacentral:rRNA from 1 species